UUAAACGUUCGUUUAUGUUUACAAACAGAACCGCGGGACUAUUUUUUCGGCGGAGCGAACCUCUGCGAGAUGUAAUCAGUCUCAGAAUCCCACGUUAAAUGCCCCUUCUGACAAGUACAUAAGGACUUUAAGAUCCUGCUCAGAGGAAAAGGAGUUGGCAUGCCAUUCUUGCACUUAAACUGGAAACUCCAAGGCCGGGCUGUAACAAGCAAAGAUGUGCAGGAGAAGGACCUGGAUCAGGAAGUGCAUUCACUCGAGAUCUGAGCUCCUGUUGACAACCUGAGGAUGCUGGAUGUAAUCUCCAGUGAAACGUAAUCACCUGUUAAAUAUUGUGAGAUUCCUCUCCAACAACAACACCGUUGGUGUUGAUGAAGCAGUAAUAAGUUUGGCCACAUUUGAUUUCCGUGACACUUUUAUUAAUUGGCUGUGUCGGGUGGAGGAGGAUUUACGACACAUUUCUUACACAA